GUUAAUUUAUGCAUGUAGCUUUAUACUUGUGUACAACUUGUACGACUCGCACGAGUAUCAUAAUAAACCCUCCAGUUCACGAAACUUGACAUGGCUGUCAGUAGGGGGAUCUUCUAGAAGUCAAAGACUGAAAGGAGAAAGAAAAACAGGUUCGUAUUGAGGGCACUCAAGUAUGACGUCACUGUCAAGUACGUCAAAGGGUCUGAUGUUCCAAUUGCUGAUGCAUUAUCCAGACUGUCACCUCAACCGGCACCGCCCAAGGGACAGCUACCCCAGUUAAGUAUCCACCAGGUGACUGACACACUGCCAGCCUCACCAGCAAAAUUGCAGCAAAUCAGAGACCUGACCACUAGUGACCCAACCCUAAGCCAACUCAGAGACACCAUCUGCAAAGGAUGGCAAGAGUCUAGAGAAAAGUGUCCCAGUAUGCUCUAUGAUUACUGAAAUUUCAGAGAAGAAUUGACAAUAGAAGAUGGCCUUGUCCUCAAGGGAGAGAGCAUUGUUAUACCACCUACCCUGAGACCAGAGAUCUUGGAUACCCUACACAAGGGACACCUGGGCCAGGAGAAGUGCCUCUUGAGAGCCCGCACCACUGUGUUUUGGCCAGGAAUCACCAAGGAUGUUGUAAACCUUGUGAAGACCUGCGAGGCAUGUCAGAAGCACCAACGACACAACCAGAAGCAACCAAUCUUACAGCCAGAACCACCGAGUUACCCCUGGCAGAAGGUGAGCUCUGACCUAUUCGAUUACAAA